AAACUCUUGUGGUUGCUUAUAAAAUUGGCAGCUCCUGGUAUUUUUAAUCUAUACCAUACGCUAGUUCUUCUGAUGAGACUGUGCAUCUUCUUAUCGUGCACCACUAUCAGUUGAAGCUGCCAGCAUGAUCUUAACCUUCCUUCCUUGUCGAGGAAAGAACAGAUCAUGUGGCAGUUUCACCUGAAGUUGGCAUCACGAGAAACCCUAAUUUCUUAUUCUAAAUAAACCCUAAUAAUUUCCUCUUGUUAUUCUUUCUUAGAUGGCUAGCUAAUAUUAGGUUUUCCUUGUCCAAUCCCUAGAAAGGAUUUUUGCGUCUCGGUACAGUUCCAUGAUUUCAAGAUCCCUCCUGGUGCUUCGGUGAUUGAGCCCUGAGAGUCCUAUACUUAGCCAGUUGUACGGCACUUGUUAAUUAAUUUGGUACAUAACAUACACACAAACAUACGGGAGAUGUUUAUGCUAAGAUACACGAAGUCUAGCUCCUAUCUUGGUAGUUCAAGUUUGACACCUCGAUCUCUUUUGGUAGAAAUCUCUAUGUGGACAAGAUUCCAUAUGGCUUUCCUUUUUCCAAAGAGUAUCCAAAUAAGCAAAAGCGUCACUAGUUUGAUUCUCCCAACUAUUACCGGAGGUUGCAGUUGUCAUUUCCAUCAAGCACAUUGGGUGGAGGAUCCGCUCAUAAGGCCUUGUUACAUGCCAUUUUAAGGAUGGUCUUGGGAGACAUCAAUGCUAGCUAGACAACGACAAUACAAGAAACUUGUAUUCUUAAAGGGACCCAGGAAUGGCUCGCGUUCAAUUAGUGAAAGAGAGAGCGCUUGAAAAUGUUAGUGAAGUGUACGUAAGAACCUGUGAUGGGAUUGUGUUUUAAAUGGAUAUAUAAAGCUUGUAUGUAUUCUGGUU